CAUUACACACAGCACUCUCUCACACAGCACUCUCUCACCCAUCACACACAGCACUCUCACACCCAUCACACACAGCACUCUCACACCCAUCACACACAGCACUCUCUCACACAACACUCUCACACCCAUCACACUCUCAGCACUCUCACAGCACUCACACACACAGCACUCUCACACACACAGCACUCUCACACACACAGCACUUUCACACACACAGCACUCUCUCACAGCACCCUCACACCCAUCACACUCAC